UGAUUCUACUAGGUAACUGCUGUGUGUAACUGUGUGAUUCUACUAGGUAACUGCUGUGUGUACUGUGUGAUUCUACUAGGUAACUGCUGUGUGUACUGUGUGAUUCUACUAGGUAACUGCUGUGUGUGUACUGUGUGAUUCUACUAGGUAACUGCUGUGUGUACUGUGUGAUUCUACUAGGUAACUGCUGUGUGUACUGUGUGAUUCUACUAGGUAACUGCUGUGUGUACUGUGUGAUUCUACUAGGUAACUGCUGUGUGUACUGUGUGAUUCUACUAGGUAACUGCUGUGUGUACUGUGUGAUUCUACUAGGUAACUGCUGUGUGUGUACUGUGUGAUUCUACUAGGUAACUGCUGUGUGUACUGUGUGAUUCUACUAGGUAACUGCUGUGUGUACUGUGUGAUUCUACUAGGUAACUGCUGUGUGUACUGUGUGAUUCUACUAGGUAACUGCUGUGUGUACUGUGUGAUUCUACUAGGUAACUGCUGUGUGUACUGUGUGAUUCUAUCUGAUAACUGCUGUGUGAUUCUACUAGGUAACUGC